rfam:Medicago truncatula strain A17 chromosome 4, whole genome shotgun sequence.
GAGCAAGAGUGUCGAUAAUUGGCACUUAUUGCAUUGAAGGUUGGCAAAAACAAUCAUAGAUGGCGAUUCUCCGUGCCUAUCAAAUUUAUUCAAUUUUGAAUAUGGCCUCGAACAUCUCGCUACAUC